GACGAACGCUGGCGGCGUGCUUAACACAUGCAAGUCGAACGGUGAAGCGCCUUCCUUUUUGGUGGGUGUGGAUGAGUGGCGAACGGGUGAGUAACACGUGAGUAACCUGCCCCCUUCUUCUGGAUAACCGCAUGAAAGUGUGGCUAAUACGGGAUAUUCUGGGUCUGUCGCAUGAUGGGUCUGGGAAAGAUAUUGUUUCGGUGGGGGAUGGGCUCGCGGCCUAUCAGCUUGUUGGUGGGGUGAUGGCCUACCAAGGCGGUGACGGGUAGCCGGCCUGAGAGGGUGGACGGUCACACUGGGACUGAGACACGGCCCAGACUCCUACGGGAGGCAGCAGUGGGGAAUAUUGCACAAUGGGCGCAAGCCUGAUGCAGCGACGCCGCGUGAGGGAUGGGGGCCUUCGGGUUGUGAACCUCUUUCGCCAGUGAAGCAGGCCUGCCUCGUUUGUGGGUGGGUUGACGGUAGCUGGAUAAGAAGCGCCGGCUAACUACGUG
rnacentral:rRNA from 1 species